GACGAACGCUGGCGGCGUGCCUAAUACAUGCAAGUCGAGCGAAUGGAUUAAGAGCUUGCUCUUAUGAAGUUAGCGGCGGACGGGUGAGUAACACGUGGGUAACCUGCCCAUAAGACUGGGAUAACUCCGGGAAACCGGGGCUAAUACCGGAUAACAUUUUGAACCGCAUGGUUCGAAAUUGAAAGGCGGCUUCGGCUGUCACUUAUGGAUGGACCCGCGUCGCAUUAGUUAGUUGGUGAGGUAACGGCUCACCAAGGCAACGAUGCGUAGCCGACCUGAGAGGGUGAUGGGCCACACUGGGACUGAGACACGGCCCAGACUCCUACGGGAGGUAGCAGUAGGGAAUCUUCCGCAAUGGACGAAAGUCUGACGGAGCAACGCCGCGUGAGUGAUGAAGGCUUUCGGGUCGUAAAACUCUGUUGUUAGGGAAGAACAAGUGCUAGUUGAAUAAGCUGGCACCUUGACGGUACCUAACCAGAAAGCCACGGCUAACUACGUACCAGCAGCCGCCGUAA
rnacentral:rRNA from 1 species